rnacentral:misc_RNA from 1 species
GGGAGUAAAAGUCGUAACAAGGUUUCCGUAGGUGAACCUGCGGAAGGAUCAUUGCCGGUUCUAUUUGAAGGGGGGAGAUUCUCCCUGACCCACACCUCUGUGCACUUUGGGGGGACUCGAGAGAGUGUCCUCCCGUUAACGAACGCCCUUGUCUCUAGUGUGUAUUUUGAGAACCCCCUUCUGAAGGGGGGAAAGUCUUUGAAACACAACUUUCAACAACGGAUCUCUUGGCUUUC